rnacentral:rRNA from 2 species
GGACCUUCGGGCCUCUUGCCAUCAGAUGUGCCCAGAUGGGAUUAGCUUGUUGGUGAGGUAACGGCUCACCAAGGCGACGAUCCCUAGCUGGUCUGAGAGGAUGACCAGCCACACUGGAACUGAGACACGGUCCAGACUCCUACGGGAGGCAGCAGUGGGGAAUAUUGCACAAUGGGCGCAAGCCUGAUGCAGCCAUGCCGCGUGUAUGAAGAAGGCCUUCGGGUUGUAAAGUACUU